AUUGAACGCUGGCGGCAGGCCUAACACAUGCAAGUCGAGCGGUUGACGGGAGCUUGCUCCCUGAUUCAGCGGCGGACGGGUGAGCAAUGCCUAGGAAUCUGCCUAUUAGUGGGGGACAACGUUUCGAAAGGAACGCUAAUACCGCAUACGUCCUACGGGAGCAAGCAGGGGACCUUCGGGCCUUGCGCUAAUAGAUGAGCCUAGGUCGGAUUAGCUUGUUGGUGAGGUAAUGGCUCACCAAGGCGACGAUCCGUAACUGGUCUGAGAGGAUGAUCAGUCACACUGGAACUGAGACACGGUCCAGACUCCUACGGGAGGCAGCAGUGGGGAAUAUUGGACAAUGGGCGAAAGCCUGAUCCAGCCAUGCCGCGUGUGUGAAGAAGGUCUUCGGAUUGUAAAGCACUUUAAGUUGGGAGGAAGGGUUGUAGAUUAAUACUCUGCGAUUUUGACGUUACCGACAGAAUAAGCACCGGCUAACUCUGUGCCAGCCGCCGCAGUAA
rnacentral:rRNA from 1 species